rnacentral:rRNA from 1 species
UACGGGAGGAGCAAGCGUUGUUCGGAUUUACUGGGCGUAAAGGGCGCGUAGGCGGCCACCGCAAGUCAGUUGUGAAAUCUCUGGGCUUAACCCAGAACGGUCAGCUGAUACUGCGGGGCUAGAGUGCAGAAGGGGCAACUGGAAUUCUCGGUGUAGCGGUGAAAUGCGUAGAUAUCGAGAGGAACACCUGCGGCGAAGGCGGGUUGCUGGGCUGACACUGACGCUGACAGCGCGAAAGCUAGGGGAGCGAACGGG